rnacentral:rRNA from 1 species
UACGUAGGGGGCAAGCGUUGUCCGGAUUUACUGGGCGUAAAGAGCGCGCAGGCGGUCGGAUAAGUCGAAUGUGAAAGCCCCCGGCUCAACUGGGGAGGGUCAUUCGAUACUGUUCGACUCGAAGGCAGGAGAGGGAAGUGGAAUUCCCGGUGUAGUGGUGAAAUGCGUAGAUAUCGGGAGGAACACCAGUGGCGAAGGCGACUUCCUGGCCUGUUCUUGACGCUGAGGCGCGAAAGCGUGGGUAGCAAACAGG